GAUGAACGCUAGCGGCAGGCCUAAUACAUGCAAGUCGGACGGGAUCGGGGAGCUUGCUCCCCGUGAGAGUGGCGCACGGGUGCGUAACACGUAUGUAACCUACCUUUAUCAGGGGGAUAGCCUCUCGAAAGAGAGAUUAACACCGCAUAACAUCACAUGAUAGCAUUAUCGAGUGAUCAAAUAUUCAUAGGAUAAAGAUGGGCAUGCGGGACAUUAGCUAGUUGGCGGGGUAACGGCCCACCAAGGCGACGAUGUCUAGGGGAUCUGAGAGGAUGACCCCCAACACUGGUACUGAGACACGGACCAGACUCCUACGAGAGGCAGCAGUAAGGAAUAUUGGUCAAUGGACGCAAGUCUGAACCAGCCAUGCCGCGCGCAGGAGGACGGCCCUACGGGUUGUAAACUGCUUUUGUACCGGAAUAAACCCUUUUACGUGUAUGAGGCUGAAUGUACGGUAGGAAUAAGGAUCGGCUAACUCCGUGCCAGCAGCCGCUGUAA
rnacentral:rRNA from 1 species